UACGUAGGGGGCAAGCGUUGUCCGGAUUUAUUGGGCGUAAAGAGCUCGUAGGCGGCUCGGUAAGUCGGAUGUGAAACCUCCAGGCUCAACCUGGAGACGCCAUCUGAUACUGCCGUGGCUUGAGUCCGGUAGAGGAGCAGGGAAUUCCUGGUGUAGCGGUGAAAUGCGCAGAUAUCAGGAGGAACACCAGCGGCGAAGGCGCUGCUCUGGGCCGGUACUGACGCUGAGGAGCGAGAGCGCGGGGAGCGAACCGG
rnacentral:rRNA from 1 species